AUUGAACGCUGGCGGCAUGCUUUACACAUGCAAGUCGAACGGUAACAGGGUGCUUGCACCGCUGACGAGUGGCGAACGGGUGAGUAAUGCGUCGGAACGUGCCGAGUAGUGGGGGAUAACGCAGCGAAAGUUGUGCUAAUAACGCAUACGUACUGAGGUAGAAAGUGGGGGACCUUCGGGCCUCACGCUAUUCGAGCGGCCGACGUCUGAUUAGCUAGUAGGAGAGUUAAAGGCUCACCGAGGCGACGAUCAGUAGCGGGUCUGAGAGGAUGUUCCGCCACACUGGGACUGAGACACGGCCGAGACUCCUACGGGAGGCAGCAGUGGGGAAUUUUGGACAAUGGGCGAAAGCCUGUUCCAGCCAUGCCGCGUGUCUGAAGAAGGCCUUCGGGUUGUAAAGGACUUUUGUCAGGGAGGAAAUCCCUAGUGCUAAUAACACUGGGGGAUGACAGUACCUGAAGAAUAAGCACCGGCUAACUACGUGCCAGCCGCCGCGGUAA
rnacentral:rRNA from 1 species